rnacentral:lncRNA from 1 species
GAGUCAUGGAGAAGUCUAAGGCUGAAAUCUUCCUGAAUAAACACAGAUGCAUCAUUAUAGAAAAUGUAAGAAAAGUAGACAAGUUGGUUGAUUUUCUGACUCAAUCAGAUGAUAAUGGGAGAAGAGUUCUAAGUAAGGAAAUGGUCAACAACAUCUCUGCAAAGGACACAGAGGAGGAGAAAAUGCGCGAAGUAUAUAAACAGCUAAACUGCAACAGAGGAUUUGAGUUGACACUAACAUGGCUAAAGAAGAAUGAGCCUUUUUUGAUUGAAGCUUUGGAAAGCAGACAGACAACCAGUGAAGCUCCACCUCAAAAGAGGUUCAGAAGUUCUGAACAUGCAGAAGAUGUGGACGAAACAGACCUGAAUAAACCUAGUCUGAAGACAUUUUCCACGUUGGCCAAACUGGAAAGAUGGGUCUCUGACUCUAAAAACAGCCAAGACCUGAUGGAUAAGUUGGAGAAAAGAAUCCAAACAAAAGGAUUGGAGGCUCUGAAGGAACAACUGAAGAACAUGAAAAUUAAAAAAGAUUUAUGUUUUACAGGUAAUGAAGUCAGAAAGAUUGAAAGUAACCAAAAACUUUCUACAUUUUUUCAGAACCUCACAAAUGCAGAAUUCCCUAAAGUUGCACUAGAAAUAUUUUUUCAGAACAAAGCCAAAAAUGAUUUUAUGCCAGAGAAAGAUAUACAAAAUGACAGUGGUAGGUACAGAGACAGUGGAUACAAUUCUUUCAAUAACAGUCAGUUUGAUUCUGACAACAGUUCUUUGUUAGGCAGUGCAGCCUUUGAAUGCAUGGAGAACAACGAUUCUCAACAUAAUGAGCUAAAUAUGUCUGAAAUUAAGGCUGUAGACAUAUAUGUGCAACAUCUUAAUUCUGUCCAAAGCACAAAGGACACAAAUGACCAAACACAGACCGGGAGAGAAGAUUAUAAAUCAUUGGAUGAAACCACUGAAGAGAUGCAGGAGACUGGGUAUAAACCAAGCAUGGUCCAAAGCGAGCAGUUUCAGAGUACCACUCCAGUUCCUGAAGUAGAGGUCAGGCAAAUUGGAUCAGGUGUCCAAAUGCAGGAUGCAGGUGAUACAGCAUUAGGGAUAUGCUGUACACGCAUGGACACACAAGCAAAUUAUUUACCACAGACAAAAGUGAAGCCUAAAAUCAGACAGAAUCCAAAUGAUAACAAAUUUAAAAAAAUGAAGGAACAGCGCAAGCUGCUGUACGCAUGGGCAGAGAAAAAAUGCAGCAGGGAGGAGAAUGUAGAAAAAGAGGUAGAGGAAGUGUUUAGCCACAUGUCAUUUGAAAACAUAGUGGAACACAGAGAGUACCCAUGUUUUACUGCAGAACACAUCAUGAUCUAUACAGACCCACAGACACAAGAAAGACAAAUAAUUUACUUUGAAGGGAAAAACUGUGACAAAAACCUUUCAAAGGACACUAAAAUCAGGGUCAAUUAUCAGAUGUGGGUGUGUGGUAUUGAACAGGCAGUGGUUAUAAUGAAUCAGGGAGAUGGAAAGAUAAUUGAGUAUGAAUCUUUUGAUUCAAUUCUGCAGCGCUGUGAGAGGCUAGUUUUUGAAGCCUUGGCCCCUGCUCUAGCAGUGUUCAAAAACCUCCAGAGACAAGAGAAGUUCUUCUCUCUCAUUAAAAAUCACUAAAGAUUAGUUUGUAACGUAAAAAACAAACCUGUAUUGACAGUUUACAGGUUUCAGUUUAACGGUUUAUUAAUAGUUGUUACCUGUAGUAACUGUUCUAAAACAGCUCAAUUAUUGAUGAUUAUCUAUUCCAAACAUUUCAGUUCUUCAUUUAACCCUGCUCAGUGUUUUUUAUUAGUUAUCUUUAAAUUUUAUAUUUACAAGAUGUUUGUGUUAGGUUGUUCUUAGCAUCAUGUUAAAUUAUUAUUAACGAUUUUAGAAUGAAGCAGUACCAGUUAUGUCUAUGUUGAUGCAAAAUCAGAGGAUAUUUUAGUUGCAUGUCACAACUUGUAAAAUCUGCUAACAGGGAUCUUACUAAACCUGAGUUUACUACUUUGUCAACCAAUAUCAGUCACACAAUUUCAAGCAACAAAUUAUAAUGGUUGUAUGUCAUCAGAGACACUUAGGAACCACAAAUUACCUCAAAAGUCAAAAUAAGUCAACACAAAUCUUCAGGUUGACAGCCAACGCCCUUAUCUCAGGGGGUUCUGGGGUAAUUUACUCUUUCAUGGGGGGUGGUCCUCUGUGAUUUUAUUUCCGUCUGGAACGACCAUGUAUGGUUUUUUUUUUUCCUUUGAGAAAAUGACCGGCUGAAUUACCUACUCUUUUUCGCUGAACUUUGUAGUCAUAAAAUAAUUUUAGUCCCAUCCAAACACACAUCAAAAAGUUUUGUCACCUCACGUUUAAUAAAAUAGCUAUUUGUCCACUGCCA